UACGUAGGUGGCAAGCGUUGUCCGGAAUUAUUGGGCGUAAAGAGCGCGUAGGCGGUCCGGUAAGUCCGCUCUGAAAGUCCGGGGGCUCAACCCGGGCAGGCGGGCGGAUACUGUCGGGCUAGAGUCCGGAAGAGGCGAGUGGAAUUCCUGGUGUAGCGGUGAAAUGCGCAGAUAUCAGGAGGAACACCAAUGGCGAAGGCAGCUCGCUGGGACGGUACUGACGCUGAGGCGCGAAAGCGUGGGGAGCAAACAGG
rnacentral:rRNA from 1 species